rnacentral:sRNA from 24 species
CUUCGCUGGCCACCUCGGCGAAGAAAGGGUUUGGGAAACAACGACUUAUGCGCCUAGUGCAAGUCUCGUUUCCCGCUCCAAA